CCUACGGGAGGCAGCAGUAGGGAAUAUUGCUCAAUGGGGGAAACCCUGAAGCAGCAACGCCGCGUGGAGGAUGAAGGUUUUCGGAUUGUAAACUCCUUUUGUCAGAGAAGAUAAUGACGGUAUCUAACGAAUAAGCACCGGCUAACUACGUGCCAGCAGCCGCGGUAAUACGGAGGGUGCAAGCGUUACUCGGAAUCACUGGGCGGAAAGAGCGCGUAGGCGGGAUAGCAAGUCAGAUGUGAAAUCCUAUGGCUUAACCAUAGCACUGCAUUUGAAACUGUUAUUCUAGAGUAUGGGAGAGGUAGGUGGAAUUCUUGGUGUAGGGGUAAAAUCCGUAGAGAUCAAGAGGAAUACUCAUGGCGAAGGCGACCUGCUAGAACAUAACUGACGCUGAUGCGCGAAAGCGUGGGGAGCAAACAGGAUUAGAUACCCGUGUAGUC
rnacentral:rRNA from 1 species